AUUGAACGCUGGCGGAAUGCUUUACACAUGCAAGUCGAACGGCAGCACGGGGCAACCUGGUGGCGAGUGGCGAACGGGUGAGUAAUACAUCGGAACGUGCCCAAUCGUGGGGGAUAACGUAGCGAAAGUUACGCUAAUACCGCAUACGAUCUACGGAUGAAAGCGGGGGAUCGCAAGACCUCGCGCGAAUGGAGCGGCCGAUGUCAGAUUAGGUAGUUGGUGGGGGAAAGGCUCACCAAGCCGACGAUCUGUAGCUGGUCUGAGAGGACGAACAGCCACACUGGGACUGAGACACGGCCCAGACUCCUACGGGAGGCAGCAGUGGGGAAUGUUGGACAAUGGGCGCAAGCCUGAUCCAGACAUGCCGCGUGCAGGAUGAAGGCCUUCGGGUUGUAAACUGCUUUUGUACGGAACGAAACGGCUCUCUCUAAUACAGGGGGCUAAUGACGGUACCGUAAGAAUAAGCACCGGCUAACUACGUGCCAGCAGCCGCAGUAAUAC
rnacentral:rRNA from 1 species